rnacentral:rRNA from 2 species
CAGUCGAGCGGAUGAGUGGAGCUUGCUCCAUGAUUCAGCGGCGGACGGGUGAGUAAUGCCUAGGAAUCUGCCUGGUAGUGGGGGACAACGUUUCGAAAGGAACGCUAAUACCGCAUACGUCCUACGGGAGAAAGUGGGGGAUCUUCGGGCCUCGCGCUAUCAGAUGAGCCUAGGUCGGAUUAGCUAGUUGGUGAGGUAAAGGCUCACCAAGGCGACGAUCCGUAACUGGUCUGAGAGGAUGAUCAGUCACACUGGAACUGAGACACGGUCCAGACUCCUACGGGAGGCAGCAGUGGGGAAUAUUGGACAAUGGGCGAAAGCCUGAUCCAGCCAUGCCGCGUGUGUGAAGAAGGUCUUCGGAUUGUAAAGCACUUUAAGUUGGGAGGAAGGGCAGUAAGUUAAUACCUUGCUGUUUUGACGUUACCGACAGAAUAAGCACCGGCUAACUUCGUGCCAGCAGCCGCGGUAAUACGAAGGGUGCAAGCGUUAAUCGGAAUUACUGGGCGUAAAGCGCGCGUAGGUGGUUCGUUAAGUUGGAUGUGAAAGCCCCGGGCUCAACCUGGGAACUGCAUCCAAAACUGGCGAGCUAGAGUAUGGCAGAGGGUGGUGGAAUUUCCUGUGUAGCGGUGAAAUGCGUAGAUAUAGGAAGGAACACCAGUGGCGAAGGCGACCACCUGGGCUAAUACUGACACUGAGGUGCG